CCUACGGGGCGCAGCAGUAGGGAAUCUUCCACGAUGGACGAAAGUCUGAUGGAGCAACGCCGCGUGAGUGAAGAAGGGUUUCGGCUCGUAAAGCUCUGUUGGUAGUGAAGAAAGAUAGAGGUAGUAACUGGCCUUUAUUUGACGGUAAUUACUUAGAAAGUCACGGCUAACUACGUGCCAGCAGCCGCGGUAAUACGUAGGUGGCAAGCGUUGUCCGGAUUUAUUGGACGUAAAGCGAGUGCAGGCGGGUUAAUAAGUCUGAUUGUGAAGCC
rnacentral:rRNA from 1 species